rnacentral:rRNA from 1 species
GGCUUGAGUUUGAUCAUGGCUCAGGACGAACGCUGGCGGCGCGCCUAACACAUGCAAGUCGAACGGAAUGCGGAGAGGAUUUAUCUUUUCUGUGUUUAGUGGCGAACGGGUGAGUAACGCGUGAGGAACCUGCCUCAAAGAGGGGGACAACAGUUGGAAACGACUGCUAAUACCGCAUAAGCCCACGGGGCCGCAUGGCCCUGAGGGAAAAGGAGCAAUCCGCUUUGAGAUGGCCUCGCGUCCGAUUAGCUGGUUGGUGAGGUAACGGCCCACCAAGGCGACGAUCGGUAGCCGGACUGAGAGGUUGAACGGCCACAUUGGGACUGAGACACGGCCCAGACUCCUACGGGAGGCAGCAGUGGGGAAUAUUGCACAAUGGGGGAAACCCUGAUGCAGCGACGCCGCGUGGAGGAAGAAGGUCUUCGGAUUGUAAACUCCUGUUGUUGGGGAAAAGAAGGAUGGUACCCAACAAGGAAGUGACGGCUAACUACGUGCCAGCAGCCGCGGUAAAACGUAGGUCACGAGCGUUGUCCGGAAUUACUGGGUGUAAAGGGAGCGCAGGCGGGUAUGCAAGUUGGGAGUGAAAUACAUGGGCUCAACCCAUGAACUGCUCUCAAAACUGUGUAUCUUGAGUAGUGCAGAGGUAGGCGGAAUUCCCGGUGUAGCGGUGGGAUGCGUAGAUAUCGGGAGGAACACCAGUGGCGAAGGCGGCCUACUGGGCACCAACUGACGCUGAGGCUCGAAAGUGUGGGUAGCAAACAGGAUUAGAUACCCUGGUAGUCCACACCGUAAACGAUGAUUACUAGGUGUUGGAGGAUAGACCCCUUCAGUGCCGCAGUUAACACAAUAAGUAAUCCACCUGGGGAGUACGACCGCAAGG